GGGAUGGAAUAUUGUUGAGUGGAAUUUUAAGCUUUUAGGAAGAGAUAGAAAUGAUGUAGAACUACAUUAUCCUUUCUCAUUCUGAAGAAGUUUGAUUAUUGAAGAGAACAGGGCAGAGACUAAGGAGAGAAACUUAUGGUAAAACCUUGUAAAUUCCAAGGCUCCCUGUAACUCCCUACUCAUCUUGAGCACUUCCUUUAUAUCCAUUUAUUCAUUAAAGCAUGCUAAGUGCCAACAUCCAAGCUAGGUACUGGGAAUUAACAGAGAGUUUCGAUUCAAACAGACAUGUGUUUAUGAUGAGGUUAAGUGCAGCAGGCUUUGUGGGUGUUAAGAUGGGCCCCUGGCCUGGAGGAGCCAGGGAAGGAGGUUUCCCAGAGGACAUGGAAAUCUGGCUUGGAUGGCAGGUGAGGCAGAAGGAGGGAAUCGGGACUCCAGUUGAGGUGGACGUCUCAGAGAGUGUGUUUAAAGGCCUCAAAGGGAAAGUAUGGUGUAUUCCUGGGGUGGUGAGACCAUACUGGGGGUCCUAGGCUGCUCCAAUGUUUAAAAGAAAGAUACCUUUUCAGAAGACUGAAAAGAAUGUAAGUCAAUACCUGAAUGUUAUUUAAUAUUGUCUAGGUAGAGAAUAAAGGAGUCAGUAGAAUUACCAUUUGGGCUGGGCACGGUGGCUCAUGUCUGUAAUUCCAGCACUUUGGGAAGCCGAGGUGGGCGGAUCUCUUGAGUUCAGGGGUUCGAGACCAGCCUGGCCAAUAUGGUGAAACCCAGUCUCUACUAAAAAUACAAAAAGUAUCCAGGUGUGGUGGCACAUGCCUGCAAUUCCAGCUACUUGGGAGGCUGAGACAAAAGAAUUGCUUGAACCCAGGAGGCAGAUGUUACAGUCAGCCAAGAUUGUGCCACUGCACUCCAGUCUGGGUGACAGAGCAAGACUCUAUCCAAAAUAAAAUAAAAUAAUAAUUACCAUUUGGCUGCUGUCUCUAAGGGUCCUGACAUUUCUAUUAGAUUCCUUCUAUAAAGAAUUGAGCCAGGUGUGAUGCUUACGUUAGGCUGCAGCGAGCUGCAAUUGUGCCACUGCAUUCCAGCCUGGGCACCAGAGUAAGGCCCUGUCUCAAAAAAAAAAAAAAA
rnacentral:lncRNA from 1 species